rnacentral:lncRNA from 1 species
UCUGAUGAAAAAAAAAGAUAUGCAUUGCAUGCAUCAUAUGCAUAAGCAGGUUUUGUUCUGAGCUCUUGAUCAGUGGUCUAACUCUUUGCUCUUCAUUUAUUUUGAAGACAAGCUGACACACCGGUAUAAUACUAGACCCAAUCAUCCAAAGAUCAUGGAGCACUUAGAGCAAGAGAACCGGAAUUUGAAGGAAGAGAUUGCUAGGCUGACUGCCAUGAUGGAGUCAGUUCUGGCCGCUCAGAGCCAAG